rnacentral:rRNA from 2 species
GGAGGAAAAGAACUAACAAGGAUUCCCCUAGUAACUGCGAGUGAAGCGGGAAAAGCUCAAAUUUAAAAUCUGAUGGUCUUUGGCUGUCCGAGUUGUAAUCUAGAGAAGUGAUGCCCGCGCUGGACCGUGUACAAGUCUCCUGGGAUGGAGCGUCAUAGAGGGUGAGAAUCCCGUCUCUGACACGGACUACCAGGGCUUUGUGGUACGCUCUCAAAGAGUCGAGUUGUUUGGGAAUGCAGCUCAAAAUGGGUGGUAAAUUCCAUCUAAAGCUAAAUAUUGGCGAGAGACCGAUAGCGAACAAGUACCGUGAGGGAAAGAUGAAAAGAACUUUGGAAAGAGAGUUAAACAGUACGUGAAAUUGCUGAAAGGGAAACGCUUGAAGUCAGUCACGUUGGCUGGGGAUCAGCUUCGCUCUUUUGCGUGGUGUAUUUCCUGGUUGACGGGUCAGCAUCAAUUUUGACCGCUGGAAAAAGGCUUGAGGAAUGUGGCAGCUCCGGCUGUGUUAUAGCUUCUUGUCAUAUACAGUGGUUGGGAUUGAGGAACUCAGCACGCCGCAAGGCCGGGUUUCGACCACGUUCGUGCUUAGGAUGCUGGCAUAAUGGCUUUA